AGUGAACGCUGGCGGUAGACCUAACACAUGCAAGUCGAACGGCAGCACAGUAAGAGCUCGCUCUUACGGGUGGCGAGUGGCGGACGGGUGAGGAAUACAUCGGAAUCUACUUUUUCGUGGGGGAUAACGUAGGGAAACUUACGCUAAUACCGCAUACGACCUACGGGUGAAAGCAGGGGAUCUUCGGACCUUGCGCGAUUGAAUGAGCCGAUGUCGGAUUAGCUAGUUGGCGGGGUAAAGGCCCACCAAGGCGACGAUCCGUAGCUGGUCUGAGAGGAUGAUCAGCCACACUGGAACUGAGACACGGUCCAGACUCCUACGGGAGGCAGCAGUGGGGAAUAUUGGACAAUGGGCGCAAGCCUGAUCCAGCCAUACCGCGUGGGUGAAGAAGGCCUUCGGGUUGUAAAGCCCUUUUGUUGGGAAAGAAAAGCAGCAGGUUAAUACCCCGCUGUUCUGACGGUACCCAAAGAAUAAGCACCGGCUAACUUCGUG
rnacentral:rRNA from 1 species